GUUGCACUGUUUGAACCUAGUUUAUUCAGCUCCCCUCCCCCACACUAGUUUGAGCACGUGAUCAACUAGGAGCGCGGUUCAUACAGCAGCAACAAAGCUUUGCAAGAAGAGUUGAGUGUUGCAGUCGUGUCCCCAGAAAAUCUAAUUCGUUUUAUUCUGCUUUGGACAUCGAAACUGUAUAAUACGAAUUGCAUCCAAUAAGUAAAUAAUAAUGAUGUUUCAUCACAAUUCCAUAUUAGCAUUUGGGAAUAAUGUUGCUUUCAGAACAAUUACAAUAUUUUAAGUCGUUUUUAAAAUAUGUGUGUGUGUGUAUAUACUGUAUAUAUAUACAGUAUGUAUAUACACACACAUGUAUAUAUGCUGUGCUCAUUUUAGGAGUACAUGACAUUGGUGUAAACAAGAGUUCAUAAAAUAUGUUGAUAUUGCUUGACAUUUACUAUGCCCCACUUCAAAACGGACCUCAGAGGAAAAGUGAAGGAGUUUUGGUUAUGAAGGGGCGGGGCUGUUUUCACACCCCAAAACGUCACAGUUACGUUGCAGGAAACGAGUUUCUACAGCUACCCUCCCCCACAUCACACUCGCUGACCAUCAAUUAGGAAACGCGCGCUUUGCUACCUGCACAAAAGGAAGGCGUUGAGAAGAGUGAGCGUACGAGUCAGCAUCAUCGAGAAAACCCCAGAAAGUGACAAAUACUUCAGAAUUAAAGCAGAUGGACAAUCCCACUGAAGAUGGUGAUUAUUCUGACUCAAGUCUUUUUGGAUCAGAUGAGGAAUACAAACCAACUAAGACAUCCUCUGAGUCGAGUGAUGACGAGGAGAUAUUCCAUCCAAAGGUAGAAAAAUUGUUCUUAUGAUACAUCCAGUGAAGACUCUACAAGUCAUCAGACAUAUGAAGCAGAGGAGCACAGUCAUGUCUGCAAUUCGUAAAGAAGCCCCAAAAAGGGAAAAGCAUCUCUCCAAAAGAGGGAAGACUGAAUUGGAUGAUUCGAGUCCAGGCGGGGACCCUGGCGGUCCGAUCCUUGGCUGCAGAAGCUAGCUCUUGGGACAUGGAAUGUCACCUCUCUGGCUGGGAAGGAGCCCGAGCUGGUGUGUGAGGCAGAGAAUUUCCGACUGGAUAUAGUCGGACUUGCCUCCACACACAGCCUGGGUUCUGGUACCAGUUCUCUCGAGAGGGGUUGGACUCUCUUCCACUCUGGAGUUGCUCACGGUGAGAGGCGCAGAGCAGGUGUGGGCAUACUCAUUGCCCCCCGCCUCAGUGCCUGUACAUUGGGGUUCACACCGGUAGACGAGAGGGUUGCCUCCCUCCGCCUUCGGGUGGGUGGACGGGUCCUGACUGUUGUUUGUGCAUAUGCACCAAACAGCAGCUCAGCAUACCCACCCUUUUUGGAGUCCUUGGAGGGUGUGCUGGAGAGUACUCCUGCUGGGGACUCCAUUGUUCUGCUGGGGGACUUCAAUGCUCACGUGGGCAAUGACAGUGAUACCUGGAGGGGCGUGAUUGGGAGGAACGGCCCCCCCGAUCAAAACCCGAGUGGUGUUUUGUUAUUGGACUUCUGUGCUCGUCACGGAUUGUCCAUAACGAACACCUUGUUCAAACAUAAGGGUGUCCAUAUGUGCACUUGGCACCAGGACACCCUAGGCCGCAGUUCGAUGAUCGACUUUGUAGUUGUAUCAUCGGAUUUG